rnacentral:rRNA from 1 species
GUCGAGCGGUAGCACAGGGAGCUUGCUCUUGGGUGACGAGCGGCGGACGGGGAGAAAUGUCUGGGAAACUGCCUGAUGGAGGGGGAUAACUACUGUUAAACGGUAGCUAAUACCGCAUAACGUCGCAAGACCAAAGAGGGGGACCUUCGGGCCUCUUGCCAUCAGAUGUGCCCAGAUGGGAUUAGCUAGUAGGUGGGGUAACGGCUCACCUAGGCGACGAUCCCUAGCUGGUCUGAGAGGAUGACCAGCCACACUGGAACUGAGACACGGUCCAGACUCCUACGGGAGGCAGCAGUGGGGAAUAUUGCACAAUGGGCGCAAGCCUGAUGCAGCCAUGCCGCGUGUAUGAAGAAGGCCUUCGGGUUGUAAAGUACUUUCAGCGAGGAGGAAGGCGUCAAGGUUAAUAACCUUGGUGAUUGACGUUACUCGCAGAAGAAGCACCGGCUAACUCCGUGCCAGCAGCCGCGGUAAUACGGAGGGUGCAAGCGUUAAUCGGAAUUACUGGGCGUAAAGCGCACGCAGGCGGUCUGUCAAGUCGGAUGUGAAAUCCCCGGGCUCAACCUGGGAACUGCAUUCGAAACUGGCAGGCUAGAGUCUUGUAGAGGGGGGUAGAAUUCCAGGUGUAGCGGUGAAAUGCGUAGAGAUCUGGAGGAAUACCGGUGGCGAAGGCGGCCCCCUGGACAAAGACUGACGCUCAGGUGCGAAAGCGUGGGGAGCAAACAGGAUUAGAUACCCUGGGUAGUCCACGCCGUAAACGAUGUCGACUUGGAGGUUGUGCCCUUUGAGUGCGUGGCUUUCCGGAGCUAACGCGUUUAAGUCGACCGCCCUGGGGAGUACGGCCCGCAAGGGUUAAAACUCAAAUGAAAUUUGACGGGGGCCCGCACA